ACAAGAUACUGUCAGGCUUUGAGUCUGAUAGGUUUUCUCAGAAUUUAGAAAGUCUGAAACUUACACCUACAAAAGCUAAUCAAUGUUUUGUAUCUAACAGACAACUGUAAGAAUUAUAUGUCUAAGCAGUGGAUGACUCUCCGGUGCCCAGGGAGAUUGAAGUAGGAUCAUCUUCAAAGAGCGCAAAGGAAAUGGAUGGGAGACAUGUUUGGUGUUCCUAAUCAUCAAUGAUGUGUUUUAUAGAGAUCCACUUCUGUAAAGACUUCUGUGCUGGGUGAAAUACAAGCAAAGAGGAAAAAACAAUUUUUCUCCAAUUCCUUGUUUAAAAAGCCGAACAUUCGCGAAAGCAGCUGGUCCCAGAGGUGGAAUGCUCCAAAACCCCAUUUGGAGCCAAGUACGUACAUUAUGGACUCGGUCCUGACACCACUUUAUAGAGAACAGACAAUGAGUUUUGGAUCAUCUCUCUUCUGCGUGCUGAGGAAGACUCAGCUGCUGCUUUACCUAAACAAGUCAGCCCAACACUGGGCCUGGAAGGAAUAG
rnacentral:lncRNA from 1 species